rnacentral:lncRNA from 1 species
CGGAGGUGGAGGUGGAAUCGGCGGUGGUCACGGAGGUGGAAUCGGAGUUGGUCACGGAGGUGGAAUUGGCGGCGGGCACGGCGGCGGCUUUGCUGGUGGAUUCUCGAAUGGUGGAGGUGGGGUAGUGACGUCCCACGGCGGGGGCGGUGGAGGAUACCACAAGUAGAGGAUCGAGCCCUGUUUCUUUCUUUCGUUCUUCUUUUUUUUCUUCAUUCCUUCUUUUGUUUUGUAUGUCUUGUUCCAAAUUUUUAAAUAAAACGUUAAUAUGA